CUGAGUUCAUGCGGUUGAAAUCUUGACUUUGGUCACAAGUGAAAUGAGGUCUCACAGUCUAAGGUAGAUAUUUGUCCACUACUACAUCACAAACUACCAUACUAUUUGAUAAAAGCCCUACAUGAUUGUUUAGAAGCUUGAGAUUCCUGUCUUCACAGGUGUCGUGAUCACAUGGAGCAUUGGAAGCUGCCCAGAGGGUAGAAAAUGUUGCACUAUGCUAUACUCCGGCAAAGGAUAAAAAUUAUCCAGUAAUUCGAGUUGCAGUCAUCACCAUCCAUCUUCUGGCAUUGCCUCUUAGUAAAGCCUGUACUGCUAUUAAAGAAAAUUGUCAACUGGUUCUGCAGAACACAGAAUACUUGUCUCCACUGUUGCUGACUUCCUUGGGUCAGUAGUUUUGGGUAGCCUUUCCCAGUACCUGGGUGAGUUCUGCCAUCAGCAUGUGACUUUAUGGGAGC
rnacentral:lncRNA from 1 species